UACGUAGGAGGCGAGCGUUGUCCGGAGUUACUGGGCGUAAAGCGUGCGCAGGCGGUUGUGUAAGACAGAUGUGAAAUCCCCGGGCUCAACCUGGGAACUGCAUUUGUGACUGCACGGCUGGAGUGCGGCAGAGGGGGAUGGAAUUCCGCGUGUAGCAGUGAAAUGCGUAGAUAUGCGGAGGAACACCGAUGGCGAAGGCAAUCCCCUGGGCCUGCACUGACGCUCAUGCACGAAAGCGUGGGGAGCAAACAGG
rnacentral:rRNA from 1 species